rnacentral:misc_RNA from 1 species
GAUGAAGAACGUAGCGAAAUGCGAUAAGUAAUGUGAAUUGCAGAAUUCAGUGAAUCAUCGAAUCUUUGAACGCACAUUGCGCCCGCCAGCAUUCUGGCGGGCAUGCCUGUUCGAGCGUCAUUUCAACCCUCGAGCCCCCCCGGGGGCCUCGGUGUUGGGGGACGGCACACCAGCCGCCCCCGAAAUGCAGUGGCGACCCCGCCGCAGCCUCCCCUGCGUAGUAGCACACACCUCGCACCGGAGCGCGGAGGCGGUCACGCCGUAAAACGCCCAACUUUCUUAGAGUUGACCUCGGAUCAGGUAGGAAUACCCGCUGAACUUAAGCAUAUCAAUAGCGGAGGA